CAAACCCUAGCACUCAACUUGAGGAGGAAACUCAUGUUGAGCCAAUUGACGAGUCUGUACCUCUGAGGCGUUCCACAAGGGUUAAGAAUGCACCUGAGCACUACCAUGGUUUCCAUAUUACUGCGAAAGGUAAGACACUUAUCAGUGAUGAGACAUUGGUAAGUCUUGAUGAACCUAAAAACUAUGCGGAAGCCAUGGCAGGGCCUGAGUCUGCUAAAUGGAAACAUGGUUUCCAUAUUACUGCGAAAGGUAAGACACUUAUCAGUGAUGAGACAUUGGUAAGUCUUGAUGAACCUAAAAACUAUGCGGAAGCCAUGGCAGGGCCUGAGUCUGCUAAAUGGAAAGAGGCAAUGGAAAGGGAGAUACAGUCCAUGUAUGAAAAUCAAGUUUGGAACUUGGUUGACAAUGUACCAGGUCGUAAGACAGUUGGGUGCAAAUGUAUCUUCAAGAAGAAGACCGACAUGGAUGGUAAUGUACAUACGUAUAAGGCGCGACUAGUUGCAAAGGGCUUUUCUCAAACUCCGGGAGUUGAUUAUGAUGAGACCUUUUCACCAGUAGCAAAGAUUAAGUCCAU
rnacentral:lncRNA from 1 species